CGAGAGGCCCAGUGGAGGGUAACACACAUGGAGUUCAGUGAGCCCUUUGUUCCUUGAGGAGAGAGGACCUAUUUCUAAGGACAUUCCCGGAAGGCAAUGGGUUUCAAACAAUAUCCUGAAGAGACUCAUCUCAGGGAACUAAGCAGGUGGUAAUCAGAGAACACAGAGCCCCCGGAAGAAUUUUAUGGCAUUUCAGGCAAGCCACAGGCCAGCCUGGGGAAAAAGCAGGAAGAAAAACUGGCAAUACGAGGGCCCAACCCAAAAGUUAUUCCUGAAGAGAAACAACGGGCCCGAGCAGUAGCCUGCCUGAUGAUGAUCAAGCAGAGCCCUGCAAGUUUCAAGAGGAAUGUCAGUGACUCUUCACUGAAACCCCCCAGUGUCAGCACCAGAUGGGCAUUCAGACCCCAGCAUCUCCGCGAGCAGUGAGCAAAGCGGGGCACAGCAGCCUCCCGGUUUACAGGUAGGUCUUGGUUUCUCCCAGUGGCAAGCUUGGAGUCCAUCUGGCAAGGAAGAGCCCAUAGGGGAAUCGCCCCACACCACACUCUCCCUUUACAUCUUUCCUGUGCUUGGGUCCCUUUGGUGGUCUGGUGAA